GCAGUGUUCCUUCUCUAUCAGGACUGGUGU
rnacentral:piRNA from 1 species